rnacentral:lncRNA from 1 species
UUCUCUCUGGCACUCUUCCUAAAUCCCUAGAAAGAAAUAAUAGAGUGAGUCGCUCACGCCUCACGCGCAUUGAAAGCAAUCGAGGUGCAGUAUUUGAAGCAGAUCUGAAAGAAGGGGUGGAAGAAAUCGCGUGUUGAAUUGGGUUGUUCAGAUGCGGCAUGUGAGAUGAGGAAGAAAACCUAUUCUUUCCACUUCUCACUCUCACUCUCUCUUUCUCUCUUCCUUGUUGUGCUUUUGCAGUCGCUCUGUGACUCUGAAGGAAUCUCUCACAAUGGGCCUCUCACCGACGCGGAAGCGAGCUACAUCAAGCAGCGCCAGCUUCUGUACUACAAGGAUGAGUUCGGUGACAGAGGAGAAAAAGUAACCGUAGAUCCCUCUUUCCGCUUCGAGAACGACCGUUUGAGAAACGCAUACAUAGCGUUACAGGCAUGGAAGCAGGCCAUUCUCUCUGAUCCCAAAAACCUCACGCUCGACUGGGUGGGGCCCGAUGUCUGCAACUACACCUACGUCUUCUGCGCUCAAGCACUUGACAACCCUA